rnacentral:antisense_RNA from 1 species
AGUCUGGGACUGGCAGAAUCCCUGAUUUUCUCUGACCUGCCCCCACAAGUAGUCUGCCUCCCUGUCCCCAAAGCUGGUUAGCAGGAACGAAGGGGGCAUUAGUGGAGCCAGAAGCUCAGCCCCUCCCUCUCCUGAGGUUUUGGGGCACAGUGAGGCCACGAGAGCAGAAAAACAAUCGUGUAUUUAAGACAUUGCACCAGUGGGUCUGGAUCUCACCCACCGAGCAACAUUGAGCUUCCCAUUGCCUUUGGCUCUACUUGUGGAGAGACAGUUCCGACCCCAGAGUGGGAGGGAAGACGGGCAGGGCGCCACGCCCACUACAUGGCAUGUUCCUGCUCCUGGGGCACCGAACUGCCCCGCUGCGAGGACUCCAGCCCGCCCCAGAAGCCGAGGUUUCUCCUGAGCGAGGUGAGCACCUGUACCUGGAGGUUGGAGACAGGGGCAGGGCUGGCAGCCAGCGCUGCGGUAGCCAUGGUGCGGUUCAGCAGCGGAUUGGGUGGCGUGCUGCUGGGCGGGUGUGUGGCCUUCCAAUAGGCUUCCAAGUACUCCGCCAGGUGCUCGCAGGCAUCCUCCAAU